rnacentral:tRNA from 1 species
GGAGAGGUGGCAGAGUGGUCGAAUGCGGCGGUCUUGAAAACCGUUGACCCUUCACCGGGUCCGGGGGUUCGAAUCCCUCCCUCUCCGCCA